GUCCAGCAACACCUAGCUCAGUCAGUGGAGCAAGAGGCUCUUAAACUUGGGUUGUGGGUUCGAGCCCCACACUGGGUG